rnacentral:rRNA from 1 species
UCAACUCAGUCGUGAUUACCCG